GAGUUUGAUCCUGGCUCAGGACGUACGCUGGCGGCACGCCUAACACAUGCAAGUCGAACGAAGUAGCAAUACUUAGUGGCAGACGGGUGAGUAACAUGUGGGUAUCUGCCCUUUGGCCUGGAAUAACACGAGGAAACUUGUGCUAAUACCGGAUAAGUCUUUACGGAGAAAGCUUUAUGCACCAUUGGAUGAGCCUGCACUUGAUUAGUUUGUUGGUGGGGUAAUGGCCUACCAAGACUUUGAUCAAUAGCUGAUUUGAGAGGAUGAUCAGCCACAUUGGGACUGAGACACGGCCCAAACUCCUACGGGAGGCAGCAGUGGGGAAUCUUGCACAAUGGAGGAAACUCUGAUGCAGCGAUGCCGCGUGAGUGAAGAAGGCCUUUGGGUUGUAAAGCUCUUUCGUCGGGGAAGAAAAUGACUGUACCCGAAUAAGAAGGUCCGGCUAACUUCGUGCCAGCAGCCGCGGUAAUACGAAGGGACCUAGCGUAGUUCGGAAUUACUGGGCUUAAAGAGUUCGUAGGUGGUUGAAAAAGUUGGUGGUGAAAUCCCAGAGCUUAACUCUGGAACUGCCAUCAAAACUUUUCAGCUAGAGUUUGAUAGAGGAAAGCAGAAUUUCUAGUGUAGAGGUGAAAUUCGUAGA
rnacentral:rRNA from 1 species